rnacentral:lncRNA from 1 species
AGAACAGCAUACAAAAAAACAAGUGGAUAGCAUACGAUCAUAGAUUCAUUUUAGACUACACUAGCUUACAAACAAUUACAAUGGCAAAGUUACAUUAAUCACAAGAAUGGCUUCAGAUCAAAGUCUAUGUUGAGACCGAAGGGAGCAAGGGUCUUUAAGUUAAAGAUCCAGGCAGCCUCUCGUUUUAACAAUAAAUUAUCAAGGUCACCCCCUCUCCUAGAGAGGGUGACAUGUUCGAUGCCAAUAUAACGCAGAGACGAAAUCGAGUGGUUUGCUUCCAAAAAGUGGGCCGCAACUGGAUCUCACCUUCAAACACACCUCCUUCAGCCUGACCAUCUAUCCUUCCACCUCUCUGCUGUGUCUCUGCCAGAUCUCACCUUCAAACACACCUCCUUCAGCCUGACCAUCUAUCCUUCCAC